CAGUAGCCACGGGAAUACAGAGGGUGCGAGCGUUAAUCGGAUUUACUGGGCGUAAAGCGUGCGUAGGCGGCUUCUUAAGUCGGAUGUGAAAUCCCUGAGCUUAACUUAGGAAUUGCAUUCGAUACUGGGAAGCUAGAGUAUGGGAGAGGAUGGUAGAAUUCCAGGUGUAGCGGUGAAAUGCGUAGAGAUCUGGAGGAAUACCGAUUGCGAAGGCAGCCAUCUGGCCUAAUACUGACGCUGAGGUACGAAAGCAUGGGGAGCAAACAGGAUUAGAUACCCCAGUAGUCCCUGUCUCUUAUAC
rnacentral:rRNA from 1 species